GUAGCAGACAAUAGUGAGAGAAACAUCUGAAAAUGCAAAGAGACAGAGUUGCAUAUGUGUUUCAUUUCUGCGGGUUAGUCAGAGAAAACAACAAAAGGACAGCUGGAGGGGGGGAAUAAAACACACACUUACAAAGAGGAUUGUGACCCUGUAAGAGGGAAAGGCGAGUACAACGAAAAAACACUGCAAAAAGUAAGGAAGGACAGUAGAAGUGAAACAGGAAGGAGUGUUGGAAAAAUGAUCAAGAACAAGAAUAAGAAGUUAAAAGACAGUCCGACUGGAUAUUCCCUAACCUUCUUUAAAAGGAGAGUUGGGGAAAAGACAGCUCGGUCCGGAUAAAUAAACUGGGAAGACGCACCUGCCGAAAAUGUGUAUCUGAUGUGUCUACACAGAUGUGUGUGUGUUUAUCCAUCCAUACAUUUAUAUAGGGAGAUCUAGAGCAUCCCAACAGUCUAAUUGCAAUCGUGCGUCGAAGAGGUUUCGAACUUCAGAUUUAUGGCUCAACACCUCGCAACAAAUUUUGUAAAUAUUCAGUGGGGGCUUGGUCCUGAAACAUAAACACUUCUUCCUAUUGAGGCACUGAGGAAAAACAGAUCCCCUCAUUUAUUAUGUGAUAUCCAGAAGGCUAAGGAGAUUUUGAUCUCCUUUUUCAGGAACAUCUUCUUCAGUAAGAAAAAUGAAAUGUCAUUAUGCUAAGUUCAUCCAUUUACUUAAACCUCAAGCCUGGUGGGAGGAAAAGAGGAAAAAUCAGGAAUCCCAUGUGAACUCUGAAUCUCUGCCAGCAACAGGUGACCCCAAGAACUACCUGCUGAAAGCCUCUGCCCCCACUGAAAUGUCAUCCUCUUCAUCUUUGGCAAUGUCUUGCUCCACGUGCAGCCUCUGCCUCCCUCAGUGCCGUGGCCAUGGCUCCACCAGAAUCACACUGGUGGAUGGUGAGUGGGGUCCCCACACUGGAGGGGUGAGUGAGCUCCUAGUGGGCACAGGGUGCUGCUCUUGGGGCAGUUGCAUCUUGUAGCAAUAUCAAAGCCAAGAGGACACCUCUGUUUGUUAUGCUCAUUACUACUAGAGUGCAGAAGAACAGUAACUGAGGUGCAAGGGUGCUGGACCUUGACGAGAAAAGCCCAUCCCAAUUGACUUGUAGCACAGGCAGAAAAAAAAAGAUAAUGCAAAGACAUGGAUGAGGCAGAGCAGAGGAACUGAGGGCAGGUUGGGGGACGGGGCACCUAACCGAGGCACCUACCUUUCCAUCUAAGCUACCUCCCUCUGCCCUCCCUCUGGAGACAGAGAGACUGCUGUGGGAUAUGACCUGUCCCCCAUACAGAGGGAGUGAGUGGUGGCCGCAUGUCAUGCAUCCCUCUGGCCAGCAGCCCCUUGAACAGGAGCUUGAUUUCCAUCUCACCCUACGGAGGCACUAUAGCAAACGCCUGUUUUACGGAUAGGUUUGAGGAACGAUAGUGAAACAGUUUCUGGACUGUUUAUGUAAACCUUCCUGCAAAUCUGUGAGACAGGAAGAGAGAAAGCACAAAGGUGCCUGCUUGAUGAUAUAACAAAUGGCCUUGCCAUCCUCAGCUGCCUGGAAUCAACACUUCCAGCUCCCAUGUGCUGGCUGUAAAAUGAACUUACUACUGCAGUCAGCGUUUACAGAUGUGCUUCAAUAUAUUACAAUUGAAAGAACCUUUUAAAGAGCGAUUUCCAUAGACAAUAAAGCCUACUUUCUAUUUCCUUUUUAUGGAAUA
rnacentral:lncRNA from 1 species